rnacentral:rRNA from 1 species
ACAUGCAGUCGACGAUGAAGCCCAGCUUGCUGGGUGGAUUAGUGGCGAACGGGUGAGUAACACGUGAGCAACCUGCCCCUGACUCUGGGAUAAGCGCUGGAAACGGCGUCUAAUACUGGAUACGARYARCAAUCGCAUGGUYACUURYUGGAAAGAUUUUUUGGUUGGGGAUGGGCUCGCGGCCUAUCAGCUUGUUGGUGAGGUAAUGGCUCACCAAGGCGUCGACGGGUAGCCGGCCUGAGAGGGUGACCGGCCACACUGGGACUGAGACACGGCCCAGACUCCUACGGGAGGCAGCAGUGGGGAAUAUUGCACAAUGGGCGGAAGCCUGAUGCAGCAACGCCGCGUGAGGGAUGACGGCCUUCGGGUUGUAAACCUCUUUUAGCAGGGAAGAAGCGAAAGUGACGGUACCUGCAGAAAAAGCGCCGGCUAACUACGUGCCAGCAGCCGCGGUAAUACGUAGGGCGCAAGCGUUAUCCGGAAUUAUUGGGCGUAAAGAGCUCGUAGGCGGUUUGUCGCGUCUGCUGUGAAAUCCCGAGGCUCAACCUCGGGCCUGCAGUGGGUACGGGCAGACUAGAGUGCGGUAGGGGAGAUUGGAAUUCCUGGUGUAGCGGUGGAAUGCGCAGAUAUCAGGAGGAACACCGAUGGCGAAGGCAGAUCUCUGGGCCGUAACUGACGCUGAGGAGCGAAAGGGUGGGGAGCAAACAGG